CAUAUGCAUAGAGUAUUAAAUAUAAGCGAAAAUCUCCACUACUAUAUAACCCACCAGUUAUGAACUUAGCUAAAUACACCCCACAUACUAUUACUACAGUCAUAAGCUACACUAAGUACACACAGAAAUUUACACCCAGAAAGAUCUAUCAUCUGAAAUUAAGGGUCAAGAUUAACUCUAAUCUCCUAUUGCCCUAACUCAAUCACAUCCAACGGUCAUAAUCCACCGGAUCAAACUCAUCACUCACCGCCUCUCGCGCACGACCGUCGCACGACCGUGUCUCUUCCCUCUCCCUCUCACGCACGAGCGUCGCAAGGAAUCCCUCUCCCUAUCCCCGACGCCAGGGGAUAGCUACUGGGGCUUGAGGCCGGGGCUAGCGGGGCUCGUCGGGCCGCCGCCAGGGGCUUGCUGCCGGGGCUCGCGGCCACAGUCGGGGCGCGCGCGGGGCUCGACGGGGCGAGCGGCCAAGGGCUCGUCGGGGCGCGCGGCAGAGUCUCGCCGGGGCGAGCGGCUAAGGGCUCGCCGGGGCGAGCGGCAUAGCCGCGUCGGGGCGGACGGAGCGAGCAGCCAAGGGCUCCCCGUGGCGCGCGGCAGAGCCUCGCCGGGGCGGCCGGGGCGAGCGGCCAUGGGCUCGCCAGGGCGGCCGGGACGAGCGGCCAAGGGCUCCCCGAGGCGCGCGGCAGAGCCUCGCCGGGGCGGGCGGGGCGCGCAGCCAGCGCUCGCCUGGGCGCAUGGCCAAGGCUCGCCGCGGCUCGACGGUGCGCGCAGCCAACGCUCGCCUCGGCGCGUGGCCAAGGCUCGCUGCGGCUCGACGGUCCGCCGCGGCUUGAUCAAGAGCCUAUCUCUGGUUGCACAGAUGUCCAAAUGACCAAAUCUGUACAUUCCUCCUUUACCCAUAUGUCGAUUCUCCAUAGAUUGACAUCUCGCAGAAGGUUUCCAUGAGUUCAUUUGAUUCCUGUUGAUGGUGAUUGCGAUGGUGCCUUGAUUGUCCACUUAUUGAUCUUACAUUUGGAUGCGAGAAAGGAUGGGUGUGAUGUCAAAAACAGGACUUCUGAAACAUUAGAAAUAUUGAGCAACAAAAAUCCUCGUGGAAUUCAAAGAAGAAAAAUUCUAGAAGAAGAAAAAUAUGGAUGCCGCGAGGAAAAGGAGUGGCCGGCGCAACCUACUCCAUGGCUGCUAUUCUCCUAACUAAGGUACCUUUGCUCCCAUUCUAAAUCCCCUGGAGCUCCGAUUUGGUAUGACAGGGGAGGGUGUGGGUAGUGGGCCGCCGCCGACCGACCCUGUAUCCUCUCCCCCGCGGUGCUCCCUCUAGUGGCCUCCACGGGGCUUUUCUUGCUGAUGCUGUUCGACCCAAGCUGCUUGUCGUGGCUGAGCGAGCUUGAGCCCAUUCCUCCCCUAUGCCGGCACCCGUGCCGCCACAGCGGGCGGCCAGGAGCCGUUCGCGCCGAGCCGGCGUAGCAGCAUGCUGCUGUCCACGCUCACCAUGCCGUCGCUGGCCACCGGCGCUGUGCUCAAAUUCUUUAGCAGCACCAACUUCCCGGACCUGUAAAUCUCUAGAUGAUUAUUGACCCCACAAAAAUUUACCGAUCGAUUCCAUUUCAUUACUAAUACUUUAUCGUUGGUGUCAGGUCUCAUCAGUGUUUCGCCAAGCAGCCUGGUUAAAUUUUCUAAUUGCUUUCUCUUUGAUAAUUGAAGGAGUUGGCAUUUUGUCAAUGAUUGACUUGCAUGGAAUGAUGAGAAACAAAAUGAGAUGACAAUCAAUUUUUCCAAGUAGCACGGGCACUCUUUUCUACAGUGCUUGCUGGGAUGGAAAGGCAAGGGCAGCUAGAGCUUUCCUUGCGGAAAGAGGAAUAAAGAUGAGGAAGAUCACACAUCUGCCAUUAGAGAAAUUUCAAUCCAUUUCUGUAAAUCACACAAUGCAAUGAGUAAUGAAUAUCUACAGGACAAGCUUCUAGGAAAAAGGUACUUAUUCUAUUUUCAUGUUUGACACGUAGUUCAUAAAUUUUGUUGAGACAAUUCCUGAUACGUAGUUCAUAAAUCUUAAUCUAUCUCACUAUUUCCUUUAUUUUAAAACAUAUUGUGUUUUUUAAUUUUACUAUAGCGUUAGCAUAGACAAUAUACUAAGAUAGAUGGCUGCAGCAAGCUUUGGUUUUUUUAUUUUACCACAGCGUUAUCAGACAUGCGUAAUGUUACUCUGACAUGGAUAUUUGUGUUGCAAUUUGACUCCAUUUGGGGUCUCCUAUUCAAAAUAUUUUUCCCGACGACAACAAAUGUUGGUGUUGAAUUGGUAAAUUGAAUAAAUGCAAAACAAUAACCUCGUUUAUAUCAGGGUGAUCUAUUUUCAAUGUAGUGUGCAGUGUGCUUGGGUUCCCCUUGUUCUAUUUCUUCUUUCCUCCUCUCUGAUUUUUAAAUGCCCUCACACCCACCCACCCACCCAAAAAAGGUUGCGAUCUGAUUUUUCUGGUAACUAUGAAUGCACUACAUUGGAUUGGUUGAUUUUGAACAGGCUGCUCAAAUUCUAGCAAAACCUGACCUAGCAUUGAUGACAUAUUUGUAUUCUUUGUUGCGAGCCUGUUGGGUCUGCUUCUGUUGUACAGGUUCAUGCUUAAGUAUUUCUCUUCAUCUGUGAAAUCUAGGGAGUGGGGUAACAUUUGUGCUUAGGUAUUUCUUUGUAAUAUAACAUCAUAUACAUACUGGGAACAUAUCGCUUAUUUUCUCUAUAUAAUUUUUAGAUAAUUUCUAAGUUUUAUUUUGGUUCUUAUUUGUUAGGUGCAUCAGGCAAGGCUUAAAUUAUCAAAGACAAAUGUUGUUGUCAGGGUUAGUAAUAUUGUUAUGUGUUUUGUAAGCAGCCAUUUAAAAUCUCAAAUUUUUUGGAUGCAUAAUCCAUUUAGGCCUUAAUUUUCCGCCAAGAUGGUAGAAAAUAUACAUGAGUGUUGCAUCUUGUGAAAAUAGAUUUUGCAUGUGCCAUGAUGUGAUUGUGAUACUACAUGCUUUCAGCUGCCGCUGGUCACCACUAGCCAUUGUUUGUUAGAAACAAAGAACAACAAUGUGUGGGGCACCAGGCCAUGGUCAUGGUCGAUCGCAAGCAUGAUUAAGUAGGCUUUGUUCAA